rnacentral:precursor_RNA from 1 species
AUAGCGUAUAUUAAGUUGCUGCAGUUAAAAAGCUCGUAGUUGGAUUUCUGGCCUGAAACAUUUAGCCGGCCACGGUUUCGUGUGUNNNNNNNNNNNGUUCUGGCCAUCCUUUCUAUCGCUAUUUACCUUUCUUCAUUGAUUGGUAAGUGGUAUAGAAUCUUUUACUUUGAAAAAAUUAGAGUGUUUCAAGCAGGCUUUAUGCUAUGAAUACAUUAGCAUGGAAUAAUAAUUUAGGACUUCGGUUCUAUUUUGUUGGUUUCUAGGACUGAAGUAAUGAUUGAUAGGGACAGUUGGGGGUGCUAGUAUUCAGCGGCCAGAGGUGAAAUUCUCGGAUUCGCUGAAGACUAACUUAUGCGAAAGCAUUCACCAAGGAUGUCUUCUUUAAUCAAGAACGAAAGUUGGGGGAUCGAAGACGAUCAGAUACCGUCGUAGUCUCAACCAUAAACUAUGCCGACUAGGGAUGAGUGAACGUUGCAUUUUCGACUUCAUUCGCACCUUAUGAGAAAUCAAAGUCUUUGGGUUCCGGGGGGAGUAUGGUCGCAAGGCUGAAACUUAAAGGAAUUGACGGAAGGGCACCACCAGGAGUGGAGCCUGCGGCUUAAUUUGACUCAACACGGGAAAACUUACCAGGUCCAGACACAGUAAGGAUUGACAGAUUGAAGAUCUUUCUUGAUUCUA